rnacentral:rRNA from 1 species
GGAUGGCGGCGUGCUUACACUGCAAGUCGAACGAUGAUGCCCAGCUUGCUGGGUGGAUUAGUGGCGAACGGGUGAGUAACACGUGAGUAACCUGCCCUUGACUCUGGGAUAAGCCUGGGAAACCGGGUCUAAUACCGGAUACGACCAUCUGGCGCAUGUCAUGGUGGUGGAAAGCUUUAGCGGUUUUGGAUGGACUCGCGGCCUAUCAGCUUGUUGGCGGGGUAACGGCCCACCAAGGCGACGACGGGUAGCCGGCCUGAGAGGGUGACCGGCCACACUGGGACUGAGACACGGCCCAGACUCCUACGGGAGGCAGCAGUGGGGAAUAUUGCACAAUGGGCGAAAGCCUGAUGCAGCGACGCCGCGUGAGGGAUGACGGCCUUCGGGUUGUAAACCUCUUUCAGCAGGGAAGAAGCGCAAGUGACGGUACCUGCAGAAGAAGUGCCGGCUAACUACGUGCCAGCAGCCGCGGUAAUACGUAGGGCACAAGCGUUAUCCGGAAUUAUUGGGCGUAAAGAGCUCGUAGGCGGUUUGUCGCGUCUGCUGUGAAAGCCCGGGGCUCAACCCCGGGUCUGCAGUGGGUACGGGCAGACUGGAGUGCAGUAGGGGAGACUGGAAUUCCUGGUGUAGCGGUGGAAUGCGCAGAUAUCAGGAGGAACACCGAUGGCGAAGGCAGGUCUCUGGGCUGUAACUGACGCUGAGGAGCGAAAGCAUGGGGAGCGAACAGGAUUAGAUACCCUGGUAGUCCAUGCCGUAAACGUUGGGCACUAGGUGUGGGGGGACUUCCACGUUUUUCGCGCCGUAGCUAACGCAUUAAGUGCCCCCCCGGGGAGUACGGGCGCCAGGCUAAAACUUCAAGGAAUUGACGGGGGCCCGCACAAGCGGCGGACCAUGCGGAUUAAUUCGAUUGCACGCGAAGACCCUUACAAGGCUGACAUGGACGGUAACGCCGGGAACAGGUGCCCACUUUGUGGCGGGUCACGGUGGUGGCUGGGUGGCGGCCGCUCGGGUCGGGGAAUUUGGGGGUAAUUCCGCAACCGGCGCAACCCUCCUUUUGUUUUCCACGGGUCCGCCGGGGGCUCAAGGAAAACUGCCGGGGGCCCCCCGCGAGGAGGGGGGGGAGGACAUAGAAAUUUCUUCGCCCCUUUUUUUUUUGGGGUUUUUCCCCUCGCCUCAAUUGGGCCGGGUGAAAAAGGGGUUUUGUAAAUUUUUAUG